UACGUAGGUGGCGAGCGUUAUCCGGAAUUAUUGGGCGUAAAGAGCGCGCAGGUGGUUGAUUAAGUCUGAUGUGAAAGCCCACGGCUUAACCGUGGAGGGUCAUUGGAAACUGGUCGACUUGAGUGCAGAAGAGGGAAGUGGAAUUCCAUGUGUAGCGGUGAAAUGCGUAGAUAUCGGGAGGAACACCAGUGGCGAAGGCGGCUUCCUGGCACAAAACUGACGCUCAUGUGCGAAAGCUAGGGCAGCGAACGGGAUUAGAUA
rnacentral:rRNA from 1 species